rnacentral:rRNA from 1 species
UCUUUCCUACGGGACGCAGCAGUGAGGAAUAUUGGUCAAUGGCCGAGAGGCUGAACCAGCCAAGUCGCGUGAGGGAAGAAUGUCCUAUGGAUUGUAAACCUCUUUUGUCAGGGAGCAAAGUCACCCACGUGUGGGUGUUGGAGAGUACCUGAAGAAAAAGCAUCGGCUAACUCCGUGCCAGCAGCCGCGGUAAUACGGAGGAUGCGAGCGUUAUCCGGAUUUAUUGGGUUUAAAGGGUGCGUAGGCGGGUUAUCAAGUCAGCGGUACAAUCGUGGAGCUCAACUCCAUCCAGCCGUUGGAACUGG